GUUGCUAAUCGCUAGCAAGUUAGCUUAGCCCCUUGCUACUAGUCGGGGUGGUUGAGGUGCCACAAGGAGAUUGGAUUGUAAUCCUUUAGUCCCAUAAAUAUAAGAAGAAUAGUCUGCAACGAUCGUGGUCCUCCCCGGAUGAGGAAUUGGAAGGAUCAGACCAAAACGCAGUGUGAUGAAGAGGAGGACGACCGUGACAGAAUCACCCACCAACC